GAACGUAGUCGAUGCACCGGUAGCUCAGCGUUAGAGCACCUGUAUUUGUUUGAGACAGGCUGACUGUCAGCGUUGUCGCAGGUUCGAAUCCAGCCCGGUGGCUUGA